rnacentral:lncRNA from 10 species
CAAAAAACAUUGACUACAAGGGGGAAAUGAGGCAAUAAGGUUGGAAGAAGGGAAGGACUCAAGAAGAAAUGCUGAACCUGCAAACACAAUGAUCAGGGAGCAUGCAGAGAGGCCCUUGCUGUGACACUGUCCUCUCACUGCUACUCCUAUGAAGCCCAGUGACUAUGCUGGGACACUGGAGCUAAAGGGUCAAAGAGAAGCAUUUCAUUCCUAAAAGGUGAUGUCAAUUUGUACUUAGCCCCAGCAAUGUGAAUCCCCCUCUUCACAGUCCAAUUCUAAGAUUCCAUUCUUAAGAAAUUACCAAAGAUAGAGCCAAAGAGAUAUAUACAAGAAACUUUAUCACAUCAUCAUUGAUAAUAAAAGUAUCUGAAACAACCAAAAUUUUCAACAGUGUGGGGAUGGAUAAGGUAGAACCACUAGAAAUCUAUUUUCAAAGAUUUAAAAACAUAGGAAGUUACUCGUGAUACCAUGUUAAUCAGUGAGAGGGUAAAGUUAGGAUACCAACCUGUAUCUAUGUAUGACCUUCAAUUUUGUGUAAAUAUACACCUUAUAUGCACUUUUUAAUACUGAAAGGAAAUUCAUAAACAUAUCAGCAAAGUUUAGCUCUGUUUUAGAUGGAGAGAAGAUGGCUAAUUUUUAUUCUUUGUUUAGAUUCUUCUGUAAUGAGCAUUGUUACUUUUAUAUCAGAAAAAUAGACAUUUGCCAUAAAAUAAGUCUACCCUCAAAUCUCUGAUUUAAGACGACAAUUGUCAGUCUUAGGAAAAGCCUGCUAAAGUUCAAAGCAGACUCAAAGAAAAAAGAUUCAAAUCUACACAGUGACUCUCUCCUGAAAAGGAUGAGAAAUCUUGUGUGACGCAGUCUGGCUUUUUCCUCUACUUUGCUGCUGGCUCUAUUUUACUGCGCCUCACAGAAAGCUCCAUGGGAAAACCCUUUCCCUAGCACCUUAAAUGACCUUAAGUGUUUCUCACCUCUUGGCAUGAGGAUUAGAAGGAAAGAAAAUGAAACAGCCCUACUCCCUUGUUUCAAAGGAAAAAUUUUUCUUGCAAAGCUAUCAAAAUGACUUAAAAUCAGCUAUGCAAAAUUUGAAACAUAAGUCAUGAGUUACGUUCAGUAACCAGUUGCUUUUUUCUCAAGAAUGAAUAUAAAAACAAAUCUAUGAGUGCCCUCUUGUGGCAAGCCUGACUAUUACCACAACCCAAGUACCAGCCUCUCCCUGUCUAUUUCCACGGCUCUCCUCCACUCCUGGGCUCCGCAUAACACAGCCAGGAGGCAGAGACCCCAUAAUAACCCACUACAGUGAAUGCACAUUCCUCAAAGUGGCUGGUACUAUUUGUUUUCAAGGAUUUCUAGUUUAGAUCCCAGAAAUGCCUGCCUGAAGACAAGUGGGAAUGAAGGGUCAGAAGAGCAAGAUGCAGGAUGUGCACGUGGGUUCAUGGGCUGCUACUGAUGGCCGAUGGUGACUGUGUCUGGUAUAUCCUCAAAGUAAUGGCCUAACAUUUUGAAAGAUGAAACAACGCUCCUCUUUUGAACAUCUAAUGUAUUAAGUAAGCUCAGUGUCCC